CGUGAGAGGAGGGGUCUGUUGCGCUUGCGCAACUGGCCGCCCGCCGAAGGCCUGGAGCGCAUGUGCACAGGGAGUAUUGAAAAACGGGGUGGAGUCUGACUACCGCUGUCAUAGGGUGCUCAAGCUCACGGUGUGUGGAAAGAUUUGCUGCAUUUCUAAAGACUUCUAGAAAACAAGCUGCAUUACAGAACCUAAACCAGCAUUUGCUUUUCUUCACUCUGAGGGAGCACACAAGUACUGAAUUCUCUGCCACUGGGCACGCCAAGAGUGCUUUUAGCUGGUGCGGACAAUUAAGCCCUGGAAAUGCAGCAAUCCAUUUCACACAGAGAGAAGAUUUGAGGGAUGACUCACCAAACACCCAGGCCCUGGAGGAGCCAAAAACAUGGUCACUGUUCCCAAUAAUAAAAUCCAGAGGAUUUUCGUGGUAAUAAGGCAGAGGUGAGAUGACCACUCCCGACUUCCCUGCCCCACCAACCCAAGCUGAGAGGAAGAGUCUUAAGCUGCAGAUUCUUGAAAGCCACACAUUUGCUGGUAGUGUGGCUCAUUUGGCUACACAUCUAUUAUACCUCCAUCCUUAAGAACAAUGGGGCGCCAAGGAUGGUUUUGCCACCUCCUUCACCUCUAUGUCUCCUGCAGCAGUGCCUGGGAUGGUCAGCUCGUAGAUAUUUGAUGAAUGAAUGAAUGAAGCCACCUCUGUCUUA